UUAGAUUCCCCAUUUUUCGUAGAAGAAAAAGUGAGUGGUUUUGUGCAAAAACGCAAGGACGAGGAGACGUGUGACCAUCGCGAAUUCGGCGUAAAAAACGAAGAAAAUACGUAUUUAAUCAUCUUGCAUCGACCAAUGAUAUCACACCUGGUAUUGCUCUUGAUGUAUGCCUUGGUGUGCUUUUAUUAUUCAGUAUUCACAAGCAAAUGCGGCAAGUCUUGAAAAAGAAGAUCCUUCUGGUAUCUAUCAUAACAUUAUUAUUAUAAGGCAACAAGAUUUAUUACCACUUUCAUUCCCAAAAAUUCCUUCGAUAAUGGAUGAGAAACCUAGAAACUUUCGAGCUUUCAAGAGAGCAUUAAAUCGCAAGGUAGAGAGAGAAAUUGCCAAAAGGACAAAAUUGGAAAGAAUAGCGUCCGUUCUUUAUAAACGAUAUGGUAAAAGUGAGAGCAAUAACGAGAGUGAGAAUGAAAGUGAACAUAUUGUCAAUCAAUGCUAUAUUAUCAAUGCUAAUCAUGAUAAAAAUAAUGAUGUUACCGGAGAUAAUAACAUAAAUGUUUUUAAUUGUAACAAUGAUGAAGAUGAUCAUAAUGAAAGUGAUAAUCUUGAAAAUAAUGAACUAUUAAGACAUGAUGCUAGUAAUAGUGAACUGAGUAUCGAAAAUUUCUCUGACAAUGAGAAUUCCAGAGUUCAUGACACAGAGUCUACUCAUACUUGCACUGAAAGUGACGUAGAAGGAAUAGGUGUUCAAGAAUUGGUUUCAAGUGAUGAAACAGAUAUAGAAGAAGAGCAAAUACAUUGUCUACAUAUAAAUGAGAUAGGCCAAUAUGUUGCUAUAAAAAUAAAAGAAUGGGCAUGCGAAGAAGGUAUGUUAUCAAUGCGUAAAUUGCAAUCAUUGCUUUUAAAACUUCAUCCAGUAUUCCCAAAUCUAUGCCUUACUUACAAAACUCUUUUGAACACUGUACGCAAUAUACAAUUGAUUCAAAUCGAUGAUGGUGAAAUCUGGUACAAGGGUAUUAUUUUUAAUUUAGACUCCAUGAAUUUAAAUGAUUAUCUGGAGCGAUUCAAUAAAAUUGUGAUUGAUAUUAAUAUUGAUGGUCUGCCUAUAUCCAAAAGUUCCUCGAGUAAAUUUUGGCCUAUACUAGGAAGACUUGUAUGGUCUAAAAAUGAACCCUUUAUUAUCUCGAUAUAUAAAGGAAAUAAAGAUCCUAAUAUACAAGACUUUUUACAUUCAUUUGUCAGAGAGAUUGAAUAUUUACAAGAAAAUGGAUACAUACGUAAUGGCAUUCGAUACACAUUUUCUAUAAGGCAUUAUAUUUUAGAUGCCCCAGCUCGCGCAAAAAUUAAAUGCUGUAAAGAUCACGUAGGAUAUUGCGCAUGUGAAAAAUGUGAAGUCAUUGGCGAAUAUAUUGAUAAUAGGAUGACCUUUGUUGAGCUUAACGAGCCUUUGAGGACAGAUGAAUCAUACAAUAAUCAAAAGCAACCAUAUCACCAUACUGGUCACUCACCAUUGGAAAAAAUUGGAACUGGCCUAGUAUCACAGUUUCGUCUUGAUGGAAUGCACUUGAUUUUCCUAGGUGUUAUAAAGAGAUUACUUUUGACUUGGAAGAUGUGCAAUGGGCCGUGGAAAUUGCAUCGGAAUACUAUUGCAGCUAUUUCUUCGGAAUUAAUAUCAUUGAAACCUUCAUGUCCUCAAGAUUUUAAUAGACCUCCAAGAUCUCUUGCAGAAAUAUCUUUUUAUAAAGCUACAGAGUUCAGAAGAUUCUUGUUGUAUGAUGGAAUAUUAGUACUAAGAGAUUAUUUGGAUGAAAACAUUUACAAGCAUUUUCUUCUUUUACAUUGUGGAAUAUAUAUCUUAAGCAGCCCUGUUUUAGUAAAAUCUCAUUGCAAAUAUGCAGGUCAAUUGUUAAGGACCUUCAUUAAACAUUCUGUUGUUAUUUAUGGUGCAAGAUUUGUAGUUUAUAAUGUCCAUUCUAUGUGCCAUUUAGAGGAAGAGUGUCAGCAACAUGGCCAUCUGGAAAACUUUAGCGCAUUUGUUUUUGAAAAUAAAUUGCAAGGUAUAAAAAGAUUACUCCACUCUGGUUAUAAACCAUUGCAGCAGGCUGCUUAUCGUGACUUAGAAAAAGGACCACAAAAUGUAAUUCUUGAAAAUGAAGAAAAUCAUGUUUUUCUUUCUAUGCAAAGAAAUCAUCCUGUUAAUGAAAUCAUUAAUGGCAUCCAGUAUAAAAAAAUUACAGUGAAUAACAUUAUAUUCCAAUGUAACAAUAAAGAUUCAUGUUUUAAAACUGUUGAUGGCGAAAUUGCCAUUCUACACAAUAUUGUGCAAAGACAAGACCAAAUAUAUUUUGUAGGCCAUUUUUUUUCUCAAACUGGAAAUGCAUAUGAAUAUCCUUUGUCUUCAGUUGAACUUGGUAUAGUACGAGUAUCACAUUUGAGUAUGGAAAAGCAAAUCGUUUUAUUAACUAAUAUUGCAGCAAAAUGUUGGCUUAUGCCAGAUGGAAAUUCAUUUGUUUGUGUUCCUCUUUUGCAUACCAUUCCUUUAUUGAAGUAGCUUAAAAUAUUUUUAAAAAGAUUAUUUCUCUCAUCAUUACAGCUGUAUUGUUAUACUUUUAGUUUGUUGUGUUCAAAUUUUUAACUCAUAAAGGCCGCGAGCUGACACAAGAAGAUGAU